GAGCCCCGCCCACAAUGACAGUACCAGCGGAUAGCGGGAGGCAGCCUUGGCACCGACUGGCUGCUGGCACCCUGGCGGAGGGCCGCUCGCGGCCGCCUGGGCUCCCCGACGAGCCCCCACUCUGGCGGAAGAAUACCGGGGGGCGGCGCGGGGGGGCAGGCUGAUGGGGGUCUGCGCUGUGCUGGAUGCCGGGGAGGAACCAUGUCGCAGCUGGGAGGGACCCCAGAAAAGGCAAUGUCAGAGUUCAAAAAGAUGUUAGUAAUAUGAAGAGAAUUCACAGAAGGAAGACAAUUAAGGUGAUGAUGGAUUUCAAGUCUUUGAUGAUUGAUUAAAGCAACUGGGAUGAAUAAGAGAUGACUUAGAGGUGGUGAUGGAUCUUCAAAUCUCAGACUGAGAGGGUUCUUCAGAGGCCAUCUAAUCUGACCCCUCCCUAAAGUAUAGAUAUUCUUUACAACGUUCCCAACAAACAGGCAACUAAUGUCAGUUUAAAGAUUUUCAGUGCAGGAGAGCUCACUUACCUUACAAAGUACACUUCCCAUGCUGUUUUGGACAGCUCUAGCCUAAGCUGAUUCUUGUUUUCACUCAGCUAAAACUGCCUCCCAACCUUAAGUUUGAACUUGUGAAGUUCAAAUGAUGAUGUCACCCACUCAAUAAAUAAUAUUUGAAGAAUAAUUUG